rnacentral:rRNA from 1 species
AGUGAACGCUGGCGGUAGGCCUAACACAUGCAAGUCGAACGGCAGCACAGUAAGAGCUUGCCCUUACGGGUGGCGAGUGGCGGACGGGUGAGGAAUACAUCGGAAUCUACUUUUUCGUGGGGGGUAACGUAGGGAAACUUACGCUAAUACCGCAUACGACCUACGGGUGAAAGCAGGGGAUCUUCGGACCUUGCGCGAUUGAAUGAGCCGAUGUCGGAUUAGCUAGUUGGCGGGGUAAAGGCCCACCAAGGCGACGAUCCGUAGCUGGUCUGAGAGGAUGAUCAGCCACACUGGAACUGAGACACGGUCCAGACUCCUACGGGAGGCAGCAGUGGGGAAUAUUGGACAAUGGGCGCAAGCCUGAUCCAGCCAUACCGCGUGGGUGAAGAAGGCCUUCGGGUUGUAAAGCCCUUUUGUUGGGAAAGAAAAGCAGCAGGUUAAUACCCCGCUGUUCUGACGGUACCCAAAGAAUAAGCACCGGCUAACUUCGUG